rnacentral:rRNA from 1 species
UAGAUGCGAGAGUAGAGCAUAUCAAUAAGGCGGAGGAAAAGAAACUAACAAGGAUUCCCUUAGUAACGGCGAGUGAAGCGGGAAGAGCUCAAAUUUGAAAUCUUCAAGGUUCUACCUUGACGAAUUGUAGUUUAAAGAAGUGUUUUCUGUUAGAUGAGUAGCAAAAGUUCCUUGGAAUGGGACAUCAUAGAGGGUGAGAAUCCCGUAUUUGGUUAUUCAUUCUAGCUUUGUGAUACACUUUCAAAGAGUCGGAUUGUUUGGGAAUGCAGUCCAAAAUGGGUGGUAAAUUUCAUCUAAAGCUAAAUAUUGGCGAGAGACCGAUAGCGAACAAGUACCGUGAGGGAAAGAUGAAAGGAACUUUGAAAAGAGAGUUAAACAGUACGUGAAAUUGUCAAAAGGGAAGCGUUUGACACCAGUGUUGUUUUUCCGAAAAUCAAUUACGAAUGGCUUGAUUUUGUGUUGUAUUGACCUUAUCAGCUUUCUGCACUUUUUUUCGAGUCUUUCUUAAUGCACUUUUCGGUUAACAAGUCAACAUCAAUUUCUUUUGUUGUAAAAGAGUAUUCGGAAGGUGGCUUUCUUUUCGGAGAAAGUGUUUAUAGCCCUAUACUUCUACAAUCGGAGAGAUUGAGGUCUGCAGCGUAGAUCCUUCGGGGUUAGAUACACUUGUGCUAAGUUGUAGCUUUUCAUAGACAACUUGUUGACUAUGUUUAGUCAUGCGGCUUACUCGCUUAUGCUAUUUUACCUACGCUUAGGAUGUUGAGCGCAUGUCUCUCUCU